rnacentral:rRNA from 1 species
GAUGAACGCUGGCGGCGUGCUUAACACAUGCAAGUCGAGCGAAGCACUUGCCAUUGACUCUUCGGAAGAUUUGGCAUUUGACUGAGCGGCGGACGGGUGAGUAACGCGUGAGCAAUCUGCCUUUCAGAGGGGGAUAACAGCCGGAAACGGCUGCUAAUACCGCAUAAUGCAUCGGAUUCGCAUGUUUUUGAUGCCAAAGAUUUUAUCGCUGAAAGAUGAGCUCGCGUCUGAUUAGCUAGUUGGCGGGGUAACGGCCCACCAAGGCGACGAUCAGUAGCCGACCUGAGAGGGUGACCGGCCACAUUGGGACUGAGACAGGCCCAG